AACGAACGCUGGCGGCAUGCCUAACACAUGCAAGUCGAACGAGACCUUCGGGUCUAGUGGCGCACGGGUGCGUAACGCGUGGGAACCUGCCCUUAGGUUCGGAAUAACUCCCCGAAAGGGGUGCUAAUACCGGAUAAUGUCUUCGGACCAAAGAUUUAUCGCCUUUGGAUGGGCCCGCGUUGGAUUAGCUAGUUGGUAGGGUAAAAGCCUACCAAGGCGACGAUCCAUAGCUGGUCUGAGAGGAUGAUCAGCCACACUGGGACUGAGACACGGCCCAGACUCCUACGGGAGGCAGCAGUGGGGAAUAUUGGACAAUGGGCGAAAGCCUGAUCCAGCAAUGCCGCGUGAGUGAUGAAGGCCUUAGGGUUGUAAAGCUCUUUUACCCGGGAUGAUAAUGACAGUACCGGGAGAAUACGCUCCGGCUAACUCCGUG
rnacentral:rRNA from 1 species